rfam:Ovis aries breed Texel chromosome 7, whole genome shotgun sequence.
UUCCUAGUGGUCCAGUGGUUAGGACUCUGCACUUUCACUACUGAGGGCACAGGUUCAAUUCCUGGUUGGGGAA